CGGAACGGGUGAGUAACUACGUAGGAAUCUGCCUAUUAGGGUGGGGGAUAACGAAUACGGAAAGGUUCGCUAAUACCGCAUACGUCCGUACGGGAAGGAAAGGGGGGGAUCUUCGGACCUCUCGCUAAUAGAUGAGCCUAGGCCGGAUUAGCUAGUUGGUAGGGUAAAGGCCUACCAAGGCGACGAUCUGUAGCUGGUCUGAGAGGAUGGCCAGCCACACUGGAACUGAGACACGGUCCAGACUCCUACGGGGAGGCAGCAGGUGGGGAAUAUUGGACAAUGGGGGCAACCCUGAUCCAGCCAUGCCGCGUGUGUGAAGAAGGCCUUCGGGUUGUAAAGCACUUUAAGCGAGGAGGAAGGUUUUUAGUUUAAUACACUAAAGAAUUGACGUUACUCGCAGAAUAAGCACCGGCUAACUCUGUG
rnacentral:rRNA from 1 species